CGCGGCCUAUCAGCUUGUUGGUGAGGUAACGGCUCACCAAGGCAUCGACGGGUAGCUGGUCUGAGAGGACGAUCAGCCACACUGGGACUGAGACACGGCCCAGACUCCUACGGGAGGCAGCAGCAGGGAAUAUUGCGCAAUGGGCGAAAGCCUGACGCAGCGACACCGCGUGAAGGAUGAAGGCCCUCGGGUUGUAAACUUCUUUCAGUGGGGAAGAAGCGAAAGUGACGGUACCUCCAGAAGAAGCCCCGGCCAACUACGUGCCAGCAGCCGCGGUAAUACGUAGGGGGCGAGCGUUGUCCGGAUUUAUUGGGCGUAAAGAGCUCGUAGGCGGCUCAACAAGUCGGCCGUGAAAGCCCGAGGCUUAACCUCGGGACGCCGGUCGAAACUGUUGUGGCUAGGGUCCGGUAGAGGAGAGUGGAAUUCCCGGUGUAGCGGUGAAAUGCGCAGAUAUCGGGAGGAACACCAGUAGCGAAGGCGGCUCUCUGGGCCGGCACCGACGCUGAGGAGCGAAAGCUAGGGGAGCAAACAGGAUUAGAUACCCUGGUAGUCCUAGCCGUAAACGAUGGGUACUAGGUGUGGCGGAUUCAUUGACAUCUGCCGUGCCGAAGCUAACGCAUUAAGUACCCCGCCUGGGGAGUACGG
rnacentral:rRNA from 1 species